UUAGGAACGUGUCAAGGAGAGCUCAAGCAUAGGAGGAUAACGGGUCAAGAUAAGGCAAGGUGACAAAUACACUUAUUGGAAUACUCAAGGUAAGUGAUUUCUAUAAUCACUUCUUUAGUUGUUUAAGUAAUAUAAUGUUUUAAUUAUUAAGUUCAUAUAAAGUUGAGGUUAAAUCAAUGGAUUAUUUUGAUAAAUGCACGAAUGGGUCGAAUAAUUCAUAGAUGAAUAACAAGCCGAAUACGUAUAAGUUAAGAAAUUCCUUAACUCGGAUGUUGGACUUCAAGAUCACGUGAUAGAAUAUUAUAUUACAAUCAUAUAGGAAGAAACGUGACGCAAAACGGACGAAAAAUGAGAGAGUUAUGUCCGUCUCAGUAAGGAUUAAUGGCUAGGAAAAGUGCAGAGUUGACACAGCCGGGUGGUGAACUGACACGGCCGGGUGAAGGUUCUGUCAAAAAUAUUAUUUAUGUGAUUUAUGUGCCGUAGGCUUCGGUAUAUUAUCCGUGAACUACGACGGGCCUCCCAAACAUGAUUUCGAGUGUUUCCUUGACGAUUAUAAGUUGUAAACCCAAGUCUAAGCCUCAUGUAAUUUAUAUAAGAGUGUGAUAGAUGUAUGUAAUGAAGUUGGACAUGUAUUACAUGUAAAUGUAUACAAAAAUACGUACGGAACACGUAGGUAUGAAUACAUGAUUGUAGGUAUGAUUAAAUGUAUAUUAGGUAUGUAGAUGUGUAUGAUUGUAAGUUUGUAUGUGUGCAAGUAUGUGCGAAUGCAUGAUUUGGAUGCAUUUGAGAAUUAGCGUUACUAAUAAUGCCCUUGGGUUUGGAAUAUAAGUUGAUUGGAUGCAUUUAAAUGGUUAACGUCCUUUUUAUGAAGAUGUAGUAAAUGAAUAUGUUGAGAUUACGGGUUUGGCUAACCAAGUUAUUAUUGAGUAUGUUUGAAAGUGCAGGUUAUGAAUGUCGGACUUUCGAAGUGUUGAUAUAAUAAUGAAACAGUUGAAUGUUGAAAGGAUAAUCGGAUUGAAGUAACUUAUGCGGUUAGAAUAUGCUAUGGACGUUUUAGUUUAUACAAUAUUAUAUGUUUGGUCGUCACCAUCUACUAACAGGUAAUUCCUCAAUUUUGGCGACUUGGAGAAUCGGAGCGAGCGCGUGUUCGUGUUAUGCGAUAUCAAACGCUUCCGCUAGCUUGUUCAAAUGUUUUUGAUCCAAAAUUUGUUGUAUUGGUAUUUAGUAGUAUCUUGUUGAACGAAUUGUAGAAUUGUAUCUAGUUUGUUUAUGUUUAAAACAGGGGUAUGCUCGUUUUAUGGACGGGUCAUGCCCGAUUUUUUGUUAAAUUAUAGUUUGAUAAUAUCACAUUUAGGAAGGUGAAA